UGAAACUGGGUUUAUCAUUCAUGGCGAUUAUUCGAAAAGCAACAUUCUUUUGAAAACAAUGAUCAAUUUCCAGUUCUGAUUUUUAACGGAAUCUUUUUUCCAUCAACCGUAUAUCUACGGGUUAUUGCUUUGAGAAUCGUAAAAAAAGUGUUGAAUGCAUAAAAGACGUAUAAUUGCAUUGAUUAUGGUUCCAGUUAGAAGGAAGAAUGGCUGCAGUUACAGUUAGCUUAUAUUUCAGAGGUAUAUUAUUUUUAAAGAAGUUUACGCAAGAAAAAGUUCUCAAGACUGAAUUAGAGAAUAAGGAUGAAUACACAUUAUGCAGUGAACUCAUCAGAAAACAACAUCAGAGAAAGUUCUUUCACAUCUAAUCUCAACAACAA